rnacentral:rRNA from 1 species
CAGCCGCCGCGGUAAUACGUAGGUGGCAAGCGUUGUCCGGAAUUAUUGGGCGUAAAGGGCUCGCAGGCGGCUUCUUAAGUCUGAUGUGAAAGCCCCCGGCUCAACCGGGGAGGGUCAUUGGAAACUGGGAAACUUGAGUGCAGAAGAGGAGAGUGGAAUUCCACGUGUAGCGGUGAAAUGCGUAGAGAUGUGGAGGAACACCAGUGGCGAAGGCGACUCUCUGGUCUGUAACUGACGCUGAGGAACGAAAGCGUGGGGAGCGAACAGGAUUAGAUACCCCCGUAGUCCCUGUCUCUUAUAC